ACUUCCUCUGGGAGCCUUGGUAUUCCUUGAACAUGCCUACCUUUCCCAGCGUGAGGGACAUGGACCGCGCUGUGCGAGGGACCCCGUCUUCUGCAGCAGGAGGGAACAGAGAAGAGAAGGCAGGGAUUCCUGUGGCUAAAAGGUCUGUUUUCUCCUGCUAACACCACCCUCGUCAGCCAGAGCCCAAACCCUGGCAGUUCCCAAGGAGAGAUCCUGGUCCCAGGCACCGUCUUCCUCCUCCUGGACGGCGGCAAGAGCCUCCUCACGCGUCUCUCCAGGCCUCAGCGUCUACACUCCCUAACGCACUGCCCACUCUGAAGUCAGACAAAUCUGCUGAAAAUAAAAUCUGACAUGUCAGGUGGCAUAAACUUA